rnacentral:rRNA from 1 species
GGACCCUACGGGGCGCAGCAGUGGGGAAUAUUGCACAAUGGGGGGAACCCUGAUGCAGCGACGCCGCGUGGGUGAAGAAGUCAUUCGUGACGUAAAGCCCUAUCAGCAGGGAAGAAAAUGACGGUACCUGACUAAGAAGCCCCGGCUAACUACGUGCCAGCAGCCGCGGUAAUACGUAGGGGGCAAGCGUUAUCCGGAUUUACUGGGUGUAAAGGGAGCGUAGACGGCUAAUCAAGUCAGAAGUGAAAACCCAGGGCUCAACCUUGGGACUGCUUUUGAAACUGAGUAGCUAGAGUGCAGGAGAG